rnacentral:tRNA from 9 species
GGACCUGAAGCUUAAGGCUGGUAUAAGCACUCGGCUCAUAACCGAUAGAUAGGAGGGUUCGAGUCCCCCGAGGUUCACCA